rnacentral:ncRNA from 1 species
NNNNNNNNNNNNGCUCUACGAGUCUGGUAAUUGGAAUGAGUACAAUCUAAAUCCCUUAACGAGGAUCCAUUGGAGDGCAAGUCUGGUGCCAGCAGCCGCGGUAAUUCUAGCUCCAAUAGCGUAUAUUUAAGUUGUUGCAAUUAAAAAGCUCGUAGUUGGACCUUGGGUUGGGUUGACCAGUCCGCCUUGCGGUAUGCACCAGUCGUCUCAUCCCUUCUACCGGGGAUGCAUUCCUAGCCUUAAUUGGCCAGGUCGUGCCUCCGGUGUUGUUACUUUGAAGAAAUUAGAGUGCUCAAAGCAAGCCUACGCUCUGUAUACAUUAGCAUGGGAUAACAUCCUAGGAUUUUGGUCCUAUUAUGUUGGCCAUCGGGAUCGGAGUAAUGAUUAACAGGGAUAGUCAGGAGCAUUCGUAUUUCAUAGUCAGAGGUGAAAUUCUUGGAUUUAUGAAAGACGAACCACUGCGAAAGCAUUUGCCAAGGAUNGAAAGUUUGAGGCAAUAACAGGUCUGUGAUGCCCGUAGAUGUUCUGGGCCACACGUGCGCUACACUAAUGUAUUCAACGAGUCUAUAGCCUUGGCCGACAGGCCCGGGUAAUCUUUGAAAAUUUCAUCGUGAUGGGGAUAGAUCAUUGCAAUUGUUUGUCUUCAACGAGGAAGUCCUAGUAAGCACGAGUCGUCAGCUCGCGUUGACUACGUCCCUGCCCUUUGUACACACCGCCCGUCGCUCCUACCGAUUGAAUGGUCCAGUGAAGUGUUUGGAUCGCAGCGACGUGGAUGGUUCGCCGCUCGUGACGUCGCGAGAAGUCCACUGAACC